AUGAGAAGGAGGGAGGACCCCCACUCUCACCCAUUCUACGUGGAGGGAGUAGUGGAAGCGGAUGAAGAACAAACGGCUGGAGCGCGGGGUCCUAGCGGUAGAAGACUGGGAAGUAAAGGGAAGACAGAGGCCGUGGCUGAAUUUCUGAUAGCCUGUGUAGGUUUGAAUGGCAAAGCUUCAAUUAGAGUUUUUAUUUGUUUCACCUUUAACAGAAUUUUCUGCAAAAGGCAGAGGCAGCUGACAUCUUCAAAAGACGUUUACGUCGUUUUACGGCAAAACUGCAGCAGCUCUAUUACAUCGAAACAGAAGGAUGAUGGGAGGGAAAUUCCUUUGGGUUCUUUGCUCGCCUAUCAAGAGAACAUCCCUAACAAACUCAGAGUGCUGAAACACUGGAAGCCAGCUACAGGUCUUUUUCCUUUCUCGUCCAGAUGGUAUGCCUCUUGUUCCUCUUUUAGACACAGGCUUAUGAAAAUUUGGAAAUAUAUAAAUGCUUAA
ensembl:lncRNA